AUACGUAGGUCCCGAGCGUUAUCCGGAGUGACUGGGCGUAAAGAGUUGCGUAGGCGGUCAAGUUAGCGAGCGAUGAAAACUAUCGGCUCAACCGAUAGCUUGUUGUUCGAACUGCUUGACUCGAGAGUAUCAGAGGUCGCUGGAAUUCCUAGUGUAGCAGUGAAAUGCGUAGAUAUUAGGAAGAACACCGAUGGCGUAGGCAGGCGACUGGGAUAUUUCUGACGCUAAGGCACGAAAGCGUGGGGAGCGAACCGGAUUAGAUACCCGGGUAGUCCACGCCGUAAACGAUGGAUACUGGCUGUUGGAGGUAUCGACCCCUUCAGUAGCGAAGCUAACGCGUUAAGUAUCCCGCCUGUGGAGUACGGUCGCAAGACUAAAACAUAAAGGAAUUGACGGGGACCCGCACAAGCGGUGGAUCGUGUUCUUUAAUUCGAUGCUAAACGAAGAACCUUACCAGGGCUUGACAUCCAGGGAAUUUUUGGGAAACCAAUUAGUGCCUUUUGGAACCCUGUGACAGGUGAUGCAUGGCCGUCGUCAGCUCGUGUCGUGAGAUGUUUGGUUAAGUCCAUCAACGAGCGCAACCCUUGCAACCAGUUGUAUUUUUCUGGUAGGACUGCCCCGGUAACGGGGAGGAAGGAGGGGAUGAUGUCAGGUCAGUAUUUCCCUUACGUCCUGGGCUAGAAACACGAUACAAUGGCUAGUACAAUGCGCAGCAAAGCCGCGAGGUGGAGCAAAUCGCAUCAAAGCUAGUCCCAGUUCGGAUUGGAGGCUGAAACUCGCCUCCAUGAAGUCGGAAUCGCUAGUAAUCGCAGAUCAGCAAGCUGCGGUGAAUACGUUCCCGGGUCUUGUACACACCGCCCGUCAAACCAUGAAAGUGACCAACACCCGAAGUCCGAUUCGUCGGCCUAAGGUGGGGGGCAUGAUUGGGGUUAAGUCGUAACAAGGUAUCCGUACCGGAAGGUGCGGAUG
rnacentral:rRNA from 1 species